rnacentral:tRNA from 1 species
GGCAACUUGGCCGAGUGGUCUAAGGCGCUAGAAUCAGGUUGUAUCCCUAUCUAGUCUUUCGAGGCGUGAGUUCGAAUCUCACAGUUGUCA